AGUGAACGCUGGCGGUAGGCCUAACACAUGCAAGUCGAACGGCAGCACAGUAAGAGCUUGCUCUUACGGGUGGCGAGUGGCGGACGGGUGAGGAAUACAUCGGAAUCUACUUUUUCGUGGGGGAUAACGUAGGGAAACUUACGCUAAUACCGCAUACGACCUACGGGUGAAAGCAGUGGAUCUUCGGACCUUGCGCGAUUGAAUGAGCCGAUGUCGGAUUAGCUAGUUGGCGGGGUAAAGGCCCACCAAGGCGACGAUCCGUAGCUGGUCUGAGAGGAUGAACAGCCCAACUGGAACUGGGACAAGGUCCCGACUCCUGCGGGAGGCAGCAGUGGGGACUAUUGGACAAUGGGCGCAAGCCUGAACCAGCCAUACCGCGUGGGUGAAGAAGGCAUUCGGGUUGUAAAGCCCUUUUGUUGGGAAAGAAAAGCAGCAGGUUAAUACCCCGCUGUUCUGACGGUACCCAAAGAAUAAGCACCGGCUAAC
rnacentral:rRNA from 1 species